GACAGAGGUGGCGAGCGUUAUCCGGAUUGACUGGGCGUAAAGGGCGUGUAGGCGGUUCCACAAGUCGGUCGUGAAAGGCGUCGGCUCAACCGAAGCAGUGCGACCGAGACUGUGGGGCUUGGAGGACGGGAGAGGAAAGUGGAAUUCCCGGUGUAGCAGUGAAAUGCGUAGAUAUCGGGAAGAACACCAAUGGCGAAGGCGACUUUCUGGCCCGUUUCUGACGCUGAGGCGCGAAAGCCAGGGGAGCGAACGGGAUUAGAUACCCUGGUAGU
rnacentral:rRNA from 1 species